UUUGGUGGCCAUAGCACGAGCAAAACACCCGGCUCCAUUCCGAACCCGGCCGUUAAGUGCCGUUGCGCUGAUGGUACUGCG
rnacentral:rRNA from 1 species